rnacentral:rRNA from 1 species
CCUACGGGUGGCAGCAGUGGGGAAUAUUGCACAAUGGGGGAAACCCUGAUGCAGCGACGCCGCGUGAGUGAAGAAGUAUCUCGGUACGUAAAGCUCUAUCAGCAGGGAAGAUAAUGACGGUACCUGACCAAGAAGCCCCGGCUAACUACGUGCCAGCAGCCGCGGUAAUACGUAGGGGGCAAGCGUUAUCCGGAUUUACUGGGUGUAAAGGGAGCGUAGACGGCAGCACAAGUCUGGAGUGAAAUCCCGGGGCUUAACCCCGGAACUGCUUUGGAAACUGUAUAGCUUGAGUACUGGAGAGGCAGGCGGAAUUCCUAGUGUAGCGGUGAAAUGCGUAGAUAUUAGGAGGAACACCAGUGGCGAAGGCGGCCUGCUGGACAGAAACUGACGUUGAGGCUCGAAAGCGUGGGGAGCAAACAGGAUUAGAUACCCGUGUAGUC